CCGUGGGCAGAAACACGGAUGCCCCACGACGGUGUGAAAUCCUAACUCUCUCCCUCCCUGCUCCACCCACACACACCCGUGGGACUCGUAGGUCACUUUCAACCAUCUCGCCGGCCCGAGCAUCUGGGCCGUGACGUCAUCAACACCCGCCCACCGCGCGCCCGAGGUUGACAAGGUCACGGAGGGCAGACUUGUAAAAGCUGUUCAACUUGGUGCCGUCCACGCUGAGCGCCUCUCCCUCGACGGCAGGGUCUUGUAGGAAAUAUUCCUUUAAAAAAAAAAAAAAGAAAAAGGAUAUGAAGUGACCCUCAAAAUCUUUAUGUCUUCCCACCAUUUGUCCAUCAGCUGCCUGCUUUCAGUUCCCAUGUUUUGGAGUUUUCUUUGUGUCCUUAUUUUCUACAGUGCUAUAGAACAAGUAUUCCACCUUGAGGAGACAAGGAAGGCUGUGGAAUCAGAGGAAUUCUGCAAUCAAGAAACAUUUAAAGAAGAAAAAAAAAGAUACUAUGAAGUCCUAAUGGCCAGCUCCUAGCUGCAAAACAAGAAAGCUCACUUGGU
rnacentral:lncRNA from 1 species